rnacentral:rRNA from 1 species
GCGUACCUUUUGUAUAAUGGGUCAGCGACUUACAUUCAGUGGCAAGCUUAACCGAAUAGGGAAGGCGUAGCGAAAGCGAGUCCGAAUAGGGCGAUUGAGUCGCUGGGUGUAGACCCGAAACCAGGCGAUCUAUCCAUGGUCAGGUUGAAGGCACGGUAACACGUGCUGGAGGACCGAACCCACUAAUGUUGAAAAAUUAGGGGAUGAACUGUGGAUAGGGGUGAAAGGCUAAACAAGCCUGGAAAUAGCUGGUUCUCUCCGAAAACUAUUUAGGUAGUGCCUCGUGUAUUACUGCCGGGGGUAGAGCACUGUUAUAGCUAGGGGGUCAUGGCGACUUACCAACCUAUGGCAAACUCCGAAUACCGGCAAGUACAGCACGGGAGACAGAGCACUGGGUGCUAACGUCCAGACUCAAGAGGGAAACAACCCAGACCGCCAGCUAAGGUCCCCAAAAUUGGCUAAGUGGGAAACGAAGUGGGAAGGCACAGACAGUCAGGAGGUUGGCUUAGAAGCAGCCAUCCUUUAAAGAAAGCGUAAUAGCUCACUGAUCGAGUCGUCCUGCGCGGAAGAUGUAACGGGGCUAAGCCAGUUACCGAAGCUGCGGGUGUAUGAUUUAUCAUACGCGGUAGGAGAGCGUUCUGUAAGCCUGUGAAGGUGUCUGGAGACGGAUGCUGGAGGUAUCAGAAGUGCGAAUGCUGACAUGAGUAGCGAUAAAGGGAGUGAAAAGCUCCCUCGCCGUAAGUCCAAGGUUUCCUGCGCAACGUUCAUCGGCGCAGGGUGAGUCGGCCCCUAAGGCGAGGCAGAGAUGCGUAGCUGAUGGGAAGUUGGUUAAUAUUCCAACACCAUUGUUGAAUGCGAUGGGGGGACGGAUUGCGAAAUGUGAUCGGGUGAUUGGUUGUACCCGUUGCUGGUAUCGAGAAGGUGGUUAGGUAAAUCCGGCCGCAGGAUUCAAGGUAUUGGCUCGAAGCGAACUUGUUCGCGAAGUCAUAGGAAGUGGUCCCAGGAAAAGCCUCUAAGCUUCAGUUCAACAAUGACCGUACCGCAAACCGACACAGGUGGACGGGAUGAAUAUUCCAAGGCGCUUGAGAGAACUCAGGAGAAGGAACUCGGCAAAUUAAUACCGUAACUUCGGGAGAAGGUAUGCCCUAGUAGCGUGUCAAAGCGCGAAUGGGCCGCAGAGAAAUGGUGGCUGCGACUGUUUAUUAAAAACACAGCACUCUGCUAACACGAAAGUGGACGUAUAGGGUGUGACGCCUGCCCGGUGCUGGAAGGUUAAGUGAUGGCGUGCAAGCGCUUGAUCGAAGCCCCAGUAAACGGCGGCCGUAACUAUAACGGUCCUAAGGUAGCGAAAUUCCUUGUCGGGUAAGUUCCGACCUGCACGAAUGGCGUAACGAUGGCCACACUGUCUCCUCCUGAGACUCAGCGAAGUUGACAUGGUUGUGAUGAUGCAAUCUCCCCGCGGCUAGACGGAAAGACCCCAUGAACCUUUACUGUAGCUUUACAUUGAAUUGUGAACCGGCCUGUGUAGGAUAGGUGGGAGGCGUUGAAGUAGUGUCGCUAGAUGCUAUGGAGCCAUCCUUGAAAUACCACCCUGGUUUGUUUGCGGUUCUAACCUAGGCCCGUUAUCCGGGUUGGGGACAGUGUAUGGUGGGCAGUUUGACUGGGGCGGUCUCCUCCUAAAGUGUAACGGAGGAGUUCGAAGGUACGCUAGGUACGGUCGGAAAUCGUGCUGAUAGUGCAAUGGCAUAAGCGUGCUUGACUGUGAGACUGACACGUCGAACAGGUGCGAAAGCAGGACAUAGUGAUCCGGUGGUUCUGAAUGGAAGGGCCAUCGCUCAACGGAUAAAAGGUACUCUGGGGAUAACAGGCUGAUA